rnacentral:rRNA from 1 species
AUUGAACGCUGGCGGCAGGCCUAACACAUGCAAGUCGAGCGAGCGGCGGACGGGUGAGUAAUGUAUGGGAACCUGCCCGAUAGAGGGGGAUAACUACUGGAAACGGUGGCUAAUACCGCAUACUAUCGGAUGUGCCCUGAUGGGAUUAACUAGUAGGUGGGGUAAAGGCUCACCUAGGCGACGAUCUCUAGCUGGUCUGAGAGGAUGACCAGCCACACUGGGACUUAGACACGGCCCAGACUCGUACGGGAGGAAGCAGUGGGGAAUAUUGCACAAGGGGCGAAAGCCUGAUGCAGCCAUGCCGCGUGUAUGAAGAAGGCCUUAGGGUUGUAAAGUACUUUCAGCGGGGAGGCGUUACCCGCAGAAGAAGCACCGGCUAACUCCGUGCCAGCAGCCGCGGUAAGAC